rnacentral:rRNA from 1 species
CAAGCGGAUGCUUUAAAUGCAAGUCGAACGGCAGCACGGGAGCUUGCUCCUGGUGGCGAGUGGCGAACGGGUGAGUAAUGCGUCGGAACGUACCGAGUAAUGGGGGAUAACGCACCGAAAGGUGUGCUAAUACCGCAUACGCCCUGAGGGGGAAAGUGGGGGAUCGUAAGACCUCACGUUAUUCGAGCGGCCGACGUCUGAUUAGCUAGUUGGUGGGGUAAAGGCCUACCAAGGCGACGAUCAGUAGCGGGUCUGAGAGGAUGAUCCGCCACACUGGGACUGAGACACGGCCCAGACUCCUACGGGAGGCAGCAGUGGGGAAUUUUGGACAAUGGGGGCAACCCUGAUCCAGCCAUUCCGCGUGAGUGAAGAAGGCCUUCGGGUUGUAAAGCUCUUUCAGCUGGAACGAAACGCUCCGGGUUAAUACCCUUGGGUAAUGACGGUACCAGCAGAAGAAGCACCGGCUAACUACGUGCCAGCAGCCGCGGUAAUACGUAGGGUGCGAGCGUUAAUCGGAAUUACUGGGCGUAAAGCGUGCGCAGGCGGAUUGUUAAGCAAGAUGUGAAAUCCCCGGGCUUAACCUGGGAAUGGCAUUUUGAACUGGCAGUCUAGAGUGCGUCAGAGGGGGUGGAAUUCCACGUGUAGCAGUGAAAUGCGUAGAGAUGUGGAGGAACACCGAUGGCGAAGGCAGCCCCCUGGGAUGACACUGACGCUCAUGUACGAAAGCGUGGGUAGCAAACAGGAUUAGAUACCCUGGUAGUCCACGCCCUAAACGAUGUCAACUGGUUGUUGGGGGAGUGAAAUCCCUUAGUAACGAAGC